ACUCAUUACACACACACACAAACACACACGCAGUCCACCAACUCUCUGGGGAUGGGCAGGACUCAGCUGGGAGCCAUUACAGGUGCUGUCCGAGCUCACACACAUACCUAUACAUGAGCACACCGGCAGCUCCAUGGUUGAAGUGAGUCCUCCAGGGUGACACCCAGCCACCUCUGACCCUUUUUGUGUCCUCUCUAAUCAUCAUCAGUACACACUUAACUAUGUUCACAAUCAUCAUCAGUGCCUCUUGUCUGACACAACGCUCUAUUUUGUCUAAUACACACCUACUUCAAGUCCUCCAAAAAAUGUGACCCUGCUAGUCCCAACAGCUGUCAGUCAUUUCUGCCAGGAGUUAGAUCAUCUAAAAUUAAAAUUCCAUGUCCCUAUGCUGUCAAAGCCACAAACUCUAGCGGGUAAACUUUGUUUUUAACUCUUUUUUUCCCCCCUAAUUUUUAAAAAUGUCAAUGGCCAUCUAUGAUUACAGCCAAGAGAGUCUUUCACGGACUAUUUUACCCUCCGUUUUACCCCCAUUCCUCUCAACACAUGCAGGGAUGCCUCUUCCAGAUGUGCAGGAGACAGCUCCUGUAUGAGCACUGCUCUGGGAGAAACCUAUGUUUGCAUGUAUGUGCGUGUGUCAGGUGUUGAUACCUAGCUGCUUUCUUCUCCUCUCCUGCAGGAGUGGUACUCGCUGACAGGCAUAGAUCCGGUGGGCCGGUGGUCCUGUCCCCGUGGCUGAUCUGUCUGCUGCAGGACAGAGAGGAGAGCUGUUGAGAGCCACACACACUGGCUCAAUGAAAAAGCUAUAAUUACAACAAAGGGAAUUGCUUCAAAUUCCUCAUGAUUCAUGCACAGGAUAUGAGAUAGUAUGUCCAGAUGGUUAGUCAUGAGCAGGGAUUCAGCGGGAAGAGAUGCAUGGUGGC